rnacentral:rRNA from 1 species
GGUAAGGUAACGGCUUACCAAGGCGAUGACGGGUAGCUGAUGUGAGAGCAUGAUCAGCCUCGAUGGGACUGAGACACGGCCCAUACUCCUACGGGAGGCAGCAGUGAAGAAUCUUCCGCAAUGGACGAAAGUCUGACGGAGCAACACCGCGUGGUGGAUGAAGGCCUUCGGGUCGUAAACACCUUUUCUGAGGGAAUAAGUUCUGAAGGUACCUCAGGAAUAAGGCGCUGCUAACUACGUGCCAGCAGCAGCGGUAAUACGUAGGCGCCAAGCGUUAUCCGGAAUUAUUGGGCGUAAAGCGUCUGUCGGCGGCAAUGCAAGUCUGGUGUGAAAUUUCAAUGCUUAACAUUGAAUGCGUAUCGGAAACUGUAUUGCUAGAGUCUAAGAAGAGCCACUGGAAUUUCCGUUGUAGGGGUAAAAUCCGUAGAUAACGGAAGGAACACCAAAAGCGAAAGCAGGUGGCUGGCUUAGUACUGACGCUCAGAGACGAAAGCGUGGGGAGCGAACGGGAUUAGAUACCCCGGUAGUCCACGCUGUAAACGAUGAGUGCUAGGUAUUGGAGGGAUUUGACCCCCUUCAGUGCCCACAGCUAACGCGUUAAGCACUCCGCCUGGGGAGUACGGUCGCAAGACUAAAACUCAAAGGAAUAGACGGGGACCCGCACAAGCGGUGGAUCAUGUGGUUUAAUUCGACGAUAAGCGAGAAACCUCACCUAGACUUGACAUCUCGAGAAGGUUCUGGAAACAGAACUGUGCCGCAAGGAACUCGAUGACAGGUGCUGCAUGGUUGUCGUCAGCUCGUGCCCUGAGGUGUUCGGUUAAGUCCGUAAACGAGCGCAACCCUUGUCAUAUGUUGUAUUUCUCAUAUGAAACUGCCGGCUCCAAGCCGGAGGAAGGUAGGGAUGACGUCAAAUCAGCAUGGCCCUUAUGUCUAGGGCUACACACGUGAUACAAUGGGUCGUACAAUGGGUAGCCAAGGAGCAAUCCGGAGCCAAUCCCUAAAACGAUCCUCAGUUCGGAUUGAGGUCUGCAACUCGACCUCAUGAAGUUGGAAUCGCUAGUAACCGUGGAUCAUAACG